UCCAGUUAAUCACCGGCAGUCUUCCUAGAGUGCCCACCAUGACGUGAUGGCAACUAAGAAUAAAGGUUGCGCUCGUUGCGGGACUUAACCCAACACUUCACAGCACGAGCUGACGACAGCCAUGCAGCACCUGUGUAAUUGUCUCUUGCGAGAAGACCGACUUUCAUCGGCUGUCAACUACAUGUCAAACCUGGGUAAGGUUCUUCGCGUAGCCUCGAAUUAAACCACAUGCUCCACCGCUUGUGCGGGUCCCCGUCAAUUUCUUUGAGUUUCAGUCUUGCGACCGUACUCCCCAGGUGGUGGAUUUAAUGCGUUAGCGUCGGCGCCGGAGGGAUCGACACCCCCGACACCUAAUCCACAUCGUUUACGGCAAGGACUAC
rnacentral:misc_RNA from 1 species